GCCGGGUUUGCUCAAUCGGUAGAGCGUCAGACUCUUAAUCUGAAGGUUGCGGGUUCGACCCCCGCAUUCGGCU
rnacentral:tRNA from 1 species